AACGAACGCUGGCGGCAUGCCUAACACAUGCAAGUCGAACGGGAUCCUAGCUUGCUAGGUGAGAGUGGCGGACGGGUGAGUAACACGUGGGAAUCUGCCUUUUGGUUCGGGAUAACCGCGGGAAACUGCGGCUAAUAUCGAAUGCCCUCGAGAGAGGAAAGAUUUAUCGCCAGAAGAGGAGCCCGCGUCCGAUUAGGUAGUUGGUGGGGUAAAGGCCUACCAAGCCGACGAUCGGUAGCUGGUCUGAGAGGAUGAUCAGCCACACUGGGACUGAGAUACGGCCCAGACUCCUACGGGAGGCAGCAGUGGGGAAUAUUGGACAAUGGGGGGCAACCCUGAUCCAGCAAUGCCGCGUGAGUGAUGAAGGCCUUAGGGUUGUAAAGCUCUUUUGCCAGGGAAGAUGAUGACUGUACCUGGAGAAUAAGCCCCGGCUAACUUCGUGCCAGCAGCCGCAGUAAU
rnacentral:rRNA from 1 species